rnacentral:rRNA from 1 species
CCUACGGGUGGCAGCAGUGGGGAAUAUUGGACAAUGGGGGGAACCCUGAUCCAGCGACGCCGCGUGAGUGAAGAAGUAUUUCGGUAUGUAAAGCUCUAUCAGCAGGGGAGAAAGACAUGACGGUCCCUGACUAAGAAGCCCCGGCUAACUACGUGCCAGCCGCCGCGGUACUACGGAGGGGGCAAGCGUUCUCCGGAUUUACUGGGUGUAAAGGGAGCGUGGACGGCGAUGCAAGUCUGAAGUGAAAGGCGGGGGCCCAACCCCUGGACUGCUUUGGAAACUGUCUGGCUGGAGUGCAGGAGAGGUAAGUGGAAUGCCUAGUGUAGCGGUGAAAUGCGUAGAUAUUAGGAGGAACACCAGUGGCGAAGGCGGCUUACUGGACUGUAACUGACGUUGAGGCUCGAAAGCGUGGGGAGCAAACAGGAUUAGAUACCCCGGUAGUC